rnacentral:rRNA from 1 species
UACGUAGGGUGCAAGCGUUAUCCGGAAUUAUUGGGCGUAAAGAGCUCGUAGGCGGUUUGUCGCGUCUGCUGUGAAAACUGGAGGCUCAACCUCCAGCCUGCAGUGGGUACGGGCAGACUAGAGUGCGGUAGGGGAGAUUGGAAUUCCUGGUGUAGCAGUGAAAUGCGUAGAUAUCAGGAGGAACACCGAUGGCGAAGGCAGGUCUCUGGGCUGACACUGACGCUCAUGCACGAAAGCGUGGGGAGCAAACAGG